GCGAGGCUUUUGUGCCGGGGUGAGGCGCUCGUCUUGAACGGGAUCCUUGCGGUGCGGCUGCGUGAUUUGAGUCGAAGAGCAAGCCAGUCGUUUAUGUGGGGAGCGCAGCAUCCAAGAGCGGGCUAGGGGAAGUGAUGCGCAAUCUGCUUCGAAGAGCUAGACUCGUGCGAGGGCGGUGAAUUCUUCGGCGCAGGUUCGAGCCUCGUGCGAGGAUGCUGGGGUGCUCAGGCUGCGAAGAUUCUCCACAUCGACUACCUAAGGAAAGAACAUUUGACAUCUAGCCAUCACGACAGACUCUACUGCAGCCGCACCCUGAACUAAUGUAGUUGCAGCUGCAGCUACUGUAGUCGCACAUGGGGUUUUAGUGGAUAUGCAACCAAGUUUGUUUUCGAAAUUUUUCUUUUUGUUGCAUGAAACUUAGUUUUACUUGUCUAUCAAAGUUGAUGCAGGUUUGCUAUAUGUUGUAUCCUCACAGGAACUCUAAAUCUAAAUUAGUUGUUGUAGGGAUUGUUGUCCUUGAUUUCAAGGACCUAAGUUUUUUUCUUGUUAUCUAAGUUGUUUCAAGUUUGUUCUCUAAUCCAUACAACUAGGAUCUAUGAAUCCAACUAAGUUGAUUUAGGGUUA